UUGUAGAUAAUUGAAAUACCUUUCCAACCAUAGGUCGUGGGCCUGUAUGUGACAUCGGGAUAAAGAGUUAUGGACGUUUUAAGGCAGAAAGGUCAAGCUGGGCAGUGAAUUCGACCCAACCCGAUUCCAAGUAGGGUCAGGCCCAUUUCCUUGACAUUUAAGGGAUAUUUUCAGCCUCCCUUCUUCAUUUCCAGACCAAGAAAUAUCCAGAACAUUUUAGAGAGAGAGAGAGAGAGAGAGAGAACUCCUAGGCUAAGAAAAGCCAUUUUGGACCAAAAUCGGAGCCCCGAAUUCUGAAGCUCGUGAAGAGAAAAAUGUUGUACGUUGCAUUGCCUUCAGUUUGAGCCAGAAAUCAGCUAAGAAGGAGAGUGUUGACUUGGUUGCUGCAUACUUAAGGUAAUGUGCGAGAUGAGAUAUGAAGAUGGCCAUUUGGAGUAGACUUUUUGGGAGCCCUUGUGAAGAUCACAUCUGCAUAUGCAUCUAGUUUUUGUAAAUUUUUGGGGACUUGUACAUGAUACAUGUGUGGCACUUAUGUAUGAAAUUUUGAAGGCUUGUGGAAAACAAGACCAUAUGCUUGUAACUUGAGCUUGGUGACUUGUUUUGCUAUUUUAGGGUGUGCUUUUAACCCAAGUCAUGCCAUGUAUUGGGUUUAUAUUUUGUCUUGUAAUUAUGUACAAAUGAUGAUAAUAGUUUAGUGAAAAUUACUAGUUUAAGUUUUGUGUA